rnacentral:lncRNA from 1 species
CCUCUCAAUUUUUUCUUUGUAUCGUCUUGAAGGUUCAUGACAAUGACAUUUUGUGUUGUAGGCUUUGCUAUGACCAUCACUUGACCAUCACCUGAAACGCCACCACAUGGAUGAGAAAAUAAAAACAUUUCUGAUAACUUUACUUUGGUCUAUAUCAACCAGGGCCACUGCAAACGACUUAUAAAAGGAAACGGCCACUGUACCAUUUUUAACAAAACAAACACUGUCAGGUUCCUCUUGAAAUGACACAAUUUGAAUACAUGUUCCAUCAUUGGUAAGCACCUCUAGGUUGUAUGAACGGCCCUUGUCGUCACCAAUAGCUAUUAUAUUACCAUUAGGUAGAAUGCAAGAGUCAACAAAAUGAAUUUUUUUUUUAAUUGUACUGUUAGAAUUUUUGAGAACGAUGGCUUUAUUUGAUCUAUCGUUGGAACAGGAACUAAAUACUGAGCUUGAUGUUUCCUUCUUGAAUUU